GUGUAUAGCUGUACCACACUGAACAUACCCAAUCUUGUCUGAUCUGGGGGCUAAGCAGGGUUUGUCCUGGUUAGUGGUUGAUAGGAGAGGCUGCAUGACAUAACUUAAUGCUAAAAACA
rnacentral:rRNA from 1 species